CGGUAGCACAGAGGAGCUUGCUCCUUGGGUGACGAGUGGCGGACGGGUGAGUAAUGUCUGGGAAACUGCCCGAUGGAGGGGGAUAACUACUGGAAACGGUAGCUAAUACCGCAUAAYGUCGCAAGACCAAAGAGGGGGACCUUCGGGCCUCUUGCCAUCGGAUGUGCCCAGAUGGGAUUAGCUAGUAGGUGGGGUAACGGCUCACCUAGGCGACGAUCCCUAGCUGGUCUGAGAGGAUGACCAGCCACACUGGAACUGAGACACGGUCCAGACUCCUACGGGAGGCAGCAGUGGGGAAUAUUGCACAAUGGGCGCAAGCCUGAUGCAGCCAUGCCGCGUGUAUGAAGAAGGCCUUCGGGUUGUAAAGUACUUUCAGCGAGGAGGAAGGYNUUGUGGUUAAUAACCGCAGNGAUUGACGUUACUCGCAGAAGAAGCACCGGCUAACUCCGUGCCAGCAGCCGCGGUAAUACGGAGGGUGCAAGCGUUAAUCGGAAUUACUGGGCGUAAAGCGCACGCAGGCGGUCUGUCAAGUCGGAUGUGAAAUCCCCGGGCUCAACCUGGGAACUGCAUCCGAAACUGGCAGGCUAGAGUCUUGUAGAGGGGGGUAGAAUUCCAGGUGUAGCGGUGAAAUGCGUANAGAUCUGGANGAAUACCGGUGGCGAANGCGGCCCCCUGGACAAAGACUGACGCUCAGGUGCGAAAGCGUGGGGAGCAAACAGGAUUANAUACCCUGGUANUCCACGCCGUANCGAUGUCNACUUGNANGUUGUGCCCUUGANGCGUGGCUUCCGGAGCUAACGCGUUAAGUCNANCGCCNGGGGANUACGGNCGCANGGUUAANCUCNNUGAAUUGANNGGGCCCGCACAGCGGNGNANCAUGUGGUUUAAUUCNAUGCAACGCNNNAANCUUACCUACUC
rnacentral:rRNA from 1 species